ACUUGUGAUGUGAAAUAUCAUUAAUAAUAAUACUUAGAUUAAUACUUAUGCUAAGAUGUACACUCUUGAGUCACCAUCAAUGCAUGCACCAUGUGUGUGUGUGUGUGUGUGUGUGUGUGUGUGUGUGUGUGUGUGUGUGUGUGUGUGUGUGUGUGUGUGUGUGUGUGUGUGUGUGUGUGUGUGUGUGUGUGUGUGUGUGUGUGUGUGUGUGUGUGUGUGUGUGUGUGUGUGUGUGUGUGUGUGUGUGUGUAUUUUCUUAUAUAUACACAUUUAUUAUAGAAGAUAUUGAAGUAUGGUCCACAGAUUGACUAAUCAGAGUUCAGCUAUUUCUCCAUCAACCAAUAAAAUUUGUUGUUGCUCCAGCAA